UUGGAGGGCAAGUCUGGUGCCAGCAGCCGCGGUAAUUCCAGCUCCAAUAGCGUACAUUAAAGUUGUUGCAGUUAAAAAGCUCGUAGUUGAAUUUCGGGAUUGACGUGAUGGUCAUGCCUUAAGGGGUAUGAACUGUUACAGUUGAUUUCUCACCUUCUGGAGAAACUUGAUGUCCUUUAUUGGGUGUCUUGCGGAUCCAGGACCUUUACCUUGAAAAAAUUAGAGUGUUUAAAGCAGGCAUUUUUGCUCGAAUACAUUAGCAUGGAAUAAUAGAAUAGGACGGCAUGGUUCUAUUUUGUUGGUUUCUAGGAUCACCGUAAUGAUUAAUAGGGAUAGUUGGGGGCAUUAGUAUUCAAUUGUCAGAGGUGAAAUUCUUGGAUUUAUUGAAGACUAACUACUGCGAAAGCAUUUGCCAAGGAUGUUUUCAUUAAUCAAGAACGAAAGUUAGGGGAUCGAAGACGAUCAGAUACCGUCGUAGUCUUAACCAUAAACUAUGCCGACUAGGAAUCAGACGAUGUUAAUUUUUUAAUGACUCGUUUGGCACCUUACGGGAAACCAAAGUGUUUGGGUUC
rnacentral:rRNA from 1 species